GAACUGAAGAGUUUGAUCAUGGCUCAGAUUGAACGCUGGCGGCAGGCCUAACACAUGCAAGUCGAGCGGAUGAGGGGAGCUUGCUUCCUGAUUCAGCGGCGGACGGGUGAGUAAUGCCUAGGAAUCUGCCUGGUAGUGGGGGACAACGUUCC
rnacentral:rRNA from 1 species